AUUUACGUUAGUGGACGUGGAGUCUGCUGUAGGAUAGAAAUCACGAAAAUUUGAAAAUAUUCGAUUAAUUUCCGCACCGCGAAGUGAUUUGUGUUUAGAGAAACGUAGCAUUUAUCUUCCCUUUAUUUUUACGAUUUAAAAAUACGCGUUUAAUCUCUGUAAACUGUGUUAUUUUGACGAAAAUUCUCUUACUAUACUGAUCCAUUGUUCUUAUACAAUUCAUGAGUUAUUGACAAACAAAAAGCUAUGCGGGUGGUGUUCUGUGUAGGGGGGCGGAUGUGACCAAUACACUGGCAUGGUAUUGGGGGCCCUUUGCAAAGGUUUUAGAAGAAAAAAACAUUAUAUUUUUAAAAUGAACGGUGUGAGCAAGGACGCCCCGUUAGGCAUCCAGUGGUUACAAAAAAUCUCCGGGUGGCUGUGUCCAAGGCUGCAAAUCAACAGGUUAAGAUGGUACCAAGCGAGCGUGCUCGGGCUGACGUACAUAACGUAUAUGACGUACCACCUGACGCGCAAGCCGAUAUCGGUGGUGAAGUCAGUGCUGCACAGGAACUGCAGCGCGCUGGUGCCGCCGCCCGGCGUGCCGCCCGGGGACGACACCUGGUGUGACUGGCCGCCCUUCGAUACGGCUGAAGCAAACGCGUUGCUGGGCGCGUUGGAUUCGGCGUUCCUCUUCUCAUAUGCGGCCGCCAUGUUUGUUUCCGGCCUAAUAGCGGAGCGCGUGGAUCUCCGUUACUUCCUGUCGCUGGGUAUGCUGGUGUCCGCCAUCUUCUGCUACCUGUUCGGAGUGGGGUACACCGCCGGCAUACAUAGUAUAUCGUACUAUCUCCUCGUUCAGGCUGGUGCGGGUAUAGCGCAGACCACUGGCUGGCCCGGCACCGUGGCGGUGGUGGGCAAGUGGUUCGGCGGCAAGAAGGGGCUCAUCUUCGGGAUCUGGAACUCGCACACUUCGCUGGGAAAUAUACUCGGCACACUCUUAGCUGCAGCGUUCGUGGAGCGGGACUGGUCACUCUCAUUCAUCUACCCCGCUUUGGCUAUGGGCGUGGCGGGCGGGCUGGUGUUCCUGUUCUUAGUGCCAGAGCCCAAAGGGGUUGGGCUGGUGAUACCUGAUAGAGAUGCGCCAAGUCGCCAGUCGAGGAAGCCUGAAGAUGAAGAGGAACCCAGCCAGGUCAUAGUUGGGGACCAGGCCGCCAGUCUGCGCCCCAACCGACACUCCGCCAACGCACCCUCGCCCCACCCUGAGGAACCGUCGGAGACGACCUCCCUGCUCCGCCGCGGCUCCAGCUCGUCAUCAUCGUCCACCACAGCCAGCGCGGUGUCUCUGUCCCGCGCGCUGCGCAUCCCUGGCGUGAUGGAGUUCUCCCUCUCACUCUUUUUCGCCAAGCUGGUGUCGUAUACAUUCCUGUACUGGUUGCCGCUCUACAUUGCUACCUCUACCAACCUAACUCCGAAGCAAUCGGGCGAGUUGUCAACAGUGUUCGACGCGGGCGGCGUGGCGGGCGCCAUCGUGGCGGGCGUGCUGGCCGACCUCACCACUUGCCCGGGCCUUGUGUGUCUCGCCUUCUACGCGCUGUGUGCGCCUGCGCUAUUCGCGUACCAGACGUACGGCGCCAUAUCGUACGGCGUCAACGUGUGCCUGCUGGUGACCACCGGCGUGCUGGUCAACGGGCCGUACGCGCUCAUCACCACCGCCGUCAGCGCCGAGCUCGGCACCCACAGCAGCCUGGCGGGCAACUCGCAGGCGCUGGCCACCGUCACCGCCAUCAUCGACGGCACAGGCAGCGUCGGCGCGGCCAUAGGCCCCAUGCUGGCUGGCGUGGUGUCCAGCGCCGGCUCCUGGUCUCACGUGUUCUACAUGCUGAUAGCUUGCAACGUGUUCGCGCUACUCACGCUCACCAGAAUCGUGAGGUCAGAAAUACUGAAGUUACGUCAGGAGCGCCGAUUAGCGUCGCCGCGGCUAGUCAGAAUAGAAUAACAUAGAAUAGUGUAGAAUAAUAGGAUCUGGAGCUCGGUGGCGCAGCGGUAAACGCGCUCGGUCUGCGAUUGUUGAAGUUAAGCAACUUUCGCAAAGGCCGGUCAUAGGAUGGGUGAC
rnacentral:misc_RNA from 1 species